CAAAAUUACAGACUUAUGUCAUAGAAAUAUCUUUACAGAUACAGAUCCUAGGGCAUUGGAAACUAAGGAGAUGAUAAACAAAUGGCACUACAUCAAAUAAAAAGCCUCUGCACAGCAAAAGAAACCAUCCA